rnacentral:rRNA from 3 species
UAGGGAAUCUUCCACAAUGGACGAAAGUCUGAUGGAGCAACGCCGCGUGAGUGAAGAAGGAUUUCGGUUCGUAAAACUCUGUUGCAAGGGAAGAACAAGUAGCGUAGUAACUGGCGCUACCUUGACGGUACCUUGUUAGAAAGCCACGGCUAACUACGUGCCAGCAGCCGCGGUAAUACGUAGGUGGCAAGCGUUGUCCGGAAUUAUUGGGCGUAAAGCGCGCGCAGGUGGUUCUUUAAGUCUGAUGUGAAAGCCCCCGGCUCAACCGGGGAGGGUCAUUGGAAACUGGGGAACUUGAGUGCAGAAGAGGAUAGUGGAAUUCCAAGUGUAGCGGUGAAAUGCGUAGAGAUUUGGAGGAACACCAGUGGCGAAGGCGACUGUCUGGUCUGUAACUGACACUGAGGCGCGAAAGCGUGGGGAGCAAACAGG